rnacentral:rRNA from 1 species
AGAGCGAACGCUGGCGGCGUGCUUAACACAUGCAAGUCGAACGCGCAGCAUUCUGUAGCAAUACAGGGUGUGGGCGCGUGGCGAACGGGUGCGUAACACGUGGAUAACCUUCCUUCGGGUGGGGAAUAACCCAGUGAAAAUUGGGCUAAUACCGCAUAACAUCGCGAUGGCACAUGCCGUUGCGUUCAAAGGCGCAAGUCGCCAGAAGAGGGAUCCGCGGCCGAUUAGCUUGUUGGCGGGGUAACGGCCCACCAAGGCUUUGAUCGGUA